rnacentral:tRNA from 1 species
GCCUUCGUGGUGUAGUGGUUAGCAGGUUCGGCGCGUAUUCGAGAGAUCCUUGGUUCGAGUCCCGGCGAGGGCA